GUCCACGCAGUAAACGGUGAUCACUAGGUGUAGCGGGUAUUGACCCCUGCUGUGCCGCAGUUAACGCAUUAAGUGAUCCGCCUGGGGAGUACGAUCGCAAGGUUAAAACUCAAAGGAAUUGACGGGGGCCCGCACAAGCGGUGGAGCAUGUGGUUUAAUUCGACGCAACGCGAAGAACCUUACCUGGACUUGACAUCUGAGGAAUCCUUAUGAAAGUAGGGAGUGCCCUUCGGGGAGCCUCAAGACAGGUGCUGCAUGGCUGUCGU
rnacentral:rRNA from 1 species